UCAAUAUCACAAACACGAGCAUCAGCACAAGAGCCCCACAGACAGUCGAUCUCGCCCUCGCUGUACAACUCCGCAACUUGGAAACCGCUAAUCUAUGUGAACUGCAACAGAAGGUGGUCAUUGCUAAGUGGACCCAUGAUGGAAUAUGAAGUGUUGAAACACCAUUCAAAGCUGUUCAACCGCCCAUGGUCAUACAUUGGCUAACAUAUAAGGUGUGCUUCACUGACUGGACAGGUCACAGGUCUGUAACCUCUACAACGAGAGACAGGAGGAGUCUCUUCUUCUAUCACAAACACGCCUGCAGAUGUUGUGAUCUUGGCGAAUGAGCAACCAAAGACUCAAAACGACAAGAGGUGGAAGUUGCUGUACAGAGUUAAUGUAGUCAAAGGAAAGAAGAACGAAAUAAAAGAGGUACA